rnacentral:rRNA from 1 species
AGCGAACGCUGGCGGCAGGCUUAACACAUGCAAGUCGAGCGGGCCCUUCAGGGUCAGCGGCGGACGGGUGAGUAACGCGUGGGAACGUGCCUUCUGGUCUGGAAUAACCCUGGGAAACUAGGGCUAAUACCGGAUACGCCCUUUUGGGGAAAGGUUUACUGCCGGAAGAUCGGCCCGCGUCUGAUUAGCUAGUUGGUGGGGUAACGGCCUACCAAGGCGACGAUCAGUAGCUGGUCUGAGAGGAUGAUCAGCCACACUGGGACUGAGACACGGCCCAGACUCCUACGGGAGGCAGCAGUGGGGAAUAUUGGACAAUGGGCGCAAGCCUGAUCCAGCCAUGCCGCGUGAGUGAUGAAGGCCUUAGGGUUGUAAAGCUCUUUUAUCCGGGACGAUAAUGACGGUACCGGAGGAAUAAGCCCCGGCUAACUUCGU